rnacentral:rRNA from 1 species
UACGAAGGGUGCAAGCGUUAUUCGGAAUUACUGGGCGUAAAGCGCGCGUAGGCGGUUUGUUAAGUCUGAUGUGAAAGCCCUGGGCUCAACCUGGGAAUUGCAUUGGAUACUGGCAGGCUAGAGUGCGGUAGAGGAUGGCGGAAUUCCCGGUGUAGCAGUGAAAUGCGUAGAGAUCGGGAGGAACAUCUGUGGCGAAGGCGGCCAUCUGGACCAGCACUGACACUGAGGCACGAAAGCGUGGGGAGCAAACAGG